CUUGUAUUUCUCAAUUGGUACAUCCACUAAAGGCCUCUCACUAUUGGCGGGGAUAUGAGCCCGAUGAUGCUUUCUCCGGCGAUGGUGAUAGUGACGGCGACAACGAUCCCUCCAACCGUGGCGGAAGGGAAAAGUGGGUUCGUGUGAGAGAGAGAGGGAGCGAGGGAAGGAGGCGAUGAUGUAUAGCAAAAUAUGAGAGAUACAGAAUUGAUGAAUAGAUUGAAGAUAAAAAAUUAAAGGUCCGGUGGAAGAAAGGAAAAAAAAGAUGAUGAAUAAUUAGAGAUAGAGAGGUUAGGAUUGUAGAUGGGAAUGAGACCAUUUAAAUAUACUAAUUAAAAUUUUGGUAGUGGAACCGUUUGCAUUAAUUAAAAAUAUAAUGGAGGGAAGGGAAGUGGUCAUGUUGAAUAACUGUAGAUAGAAACGAUACAAUUGUAAAUGGUAGUAGGACCAUUUAAAUACACUAAUUGAAAGUUUGGUUAGUGAGACCGUUAAAAUGCAUAUUGAAAAUUUGGUGUAGGGAAGAAGAAGAGUCACAUAUUAGUGAGGGGGAAGGAGAACUUGCCCCGUGGCAAUAAACAUUAGGAAUUCAUUUAGAUUAUUAUUAUUAUUAUUAAUAGAUUUAUAGAUAAUUAAAUAAUAUAUAUUAUAUAUAAAAUUAAAUUUUACAAAAUAGAUAAAUACAUUUAUUUUAUAUAUUUAUGUU
rnacentral:lncRNA from 1 species